AGGAUGAACGCUGGCGGCGGUGCCUAACGACGAUGCAAGUCGAACGUCCUGUCUCGCAAGAGGCAGGGAGUGGCGGACGGGUGAGUACCACGUGGGUUAUCUACCGUGAGGUGAGGAAUACCGGCGAGAAAUCGCCGACAAGACCGCAUAGCCUCGGUGCAAGCCGAGGAAAGCUUUCUCGAGAGAGGGAGCGCCACACGAGGAGCCUGCGCCCGAUUAGCUAGCUGGUGGAGUAACGGUUCACCAGGGCGACGAUCGGUAGCUGGUCUGAGAGGACGAUCAGCCACACUGGGAUUGAGAACGGCCCAGACUCCUACGGGGGGCAGCAGUGAGGAAUUUUCGUCAAUGGGGGCAACCCUGAACGAGCAACGCCGCGUGCAGGAAGAAGGUUUUCGGAUCGUAAACUGCUUUUCUCGGGGAAGAGAACGGACGGUACCCGAGGAAUCAGCCCCGGCUAACUACGCGCCAGCAGCCGCGGUAA
rnacentral:rRNA from 1 species